rnacentral:rRNA from 1 species
CAACGCUGGCGGCAGGCCUAACACAUGCAAGUCGAGCGGCAGCACGGGGAGCUUGCUCCCUGGUGGCGAGCGGCGGAACGGGUGAAGUAAUGCAUGGGAAUCUGCCCGGUAGAGGGGGAUAACGUGUGGAAACGCACGCUAAUACCGCAUACGUCCUACGGGAGAAAGGAGGGGAUCUUCGGACCUUCCGCUAUCGGAUGAGCCCAUGUCGGAUUAGCUAGUUGGUAGGGUAAAGGCCUACCAAGGCAACGAUCCGUAGCUGGUCUGAGAGGAUGAUCAGCCACACUGGGACUGAGACACGGCCCAGACUCCUACGGGAG